rnacentral:rRNA from 1 species
UACAACUUUUAACAACGGAUCUCUUGGCUCUCGCAUCGAUGAAGAACGCAGCGAAAUGCGAUAAGUAAUGUGAAUUGCAGAAUUCAGUGAAUCAUCGAAUCUUUGAACGCACCUUGCACCCUCUGGUAUUCCGGAGGGUAUGCCUGUUUGAGUGUCAUUAAAUCCUCAACUUUAAUAAGCUUUUGUUAGCUGAUUGAAGCUUGGAUGUGGAGGUUGUUGGCGUCCUUAGAUGUUUUCAGCUCCUCUUAAAUGCAUUAGUGGAUGCCCCCGUCGUGUUGGUCCAUCUUGAUGUGAUAGUUAUCUACAUUUUGGUGGUUCAGCUGUUCAGAUCUUUUUCUGGUCAGGAUAUUGCCCUUUAUUGUGCUUUAUCUGUAAUGGGGGAUAUUGUCUGCUCUCUAACCGUCUCUUUUAUUGGGACAAUGCUUUAUUGACUAUUUGACCUCNAAUCAGGUAGGACUACCCGCUGAACUUAA